UCCCAGACCCAGAUAACACACAGCAGCACAGGUUAUGAAAGCUGACAAGUCGGUGCCCAGUGUCUCUGAUACAGGUUGCAGUGAGGGAGGGAAAGAAGAAAAACUUCCUUGUGAAAGUCGGAAUGCAAAGUAUUCCCCACAAUGCCACACUGCUGCAAUUACUCCAGCGCCUGGUGCCGGGCCAAGACAAUGAGACGACAGCUUGUGGUGUUGAAGAGGAGAGCAGUUCAACUCCUGUCUCUCUUCUGCGUACUGUGUGUCUGCAGUAGAACUAUCUACACAGUAACUUUGUUUCUCAGACCUCUACAUGGAGGCCCGCUGUGUCCAAAAUGAAUGUAAUUCCAUCUGGUAUUCAGAUCCGUUGGUUUCAAAACAUCAUAACCCAAUAAAAUUUUGUCUUGCAUUGCAA